GGAAAUGUCAGUUGCAUGAGUCUGUACCAAACAUUGUCAGUGUUCCAGCCAUGCUGGUAAAUGUUUAACAAUGAGCUCUCAAAAAGAAAACCCCGAAUUAUGGCACUUGCCAAUUUCCAUGGUGUAAAUACUCCCACAUGGCUGACAUCAAACUAAAUUAAUGGUUGUCUCCACACAUGUAGCUGGGAAGCAAUGCUCACACCCCAGAGGGAGCUGGCCCCGAACACCCCCCUGUGCCCUCUUGCCUGACCCGGUUUGGACACCAGCUGCCUGGCGGCCAGUGCUGGGGCGUUUUGUCCGGUGCUGCCCUCAGAAGGCACUCUGCCUGAGAGUACGCAAAGCCAGCAGUGCCUGGGAGUUUACAGCCCCCAGGGGGAUCUUGUGGGUACAAAUACUGCAACUGUUGGCUCUGAUUGGCUGGCUCUGGGAUGUGACUUCCUCCCUAGAGGCUGAGCCAAAGGCAUCUUCAGCUGACUUUGCUUGAAGCCUCACCUUGGCUUGGCUUCCUGCCUUUUUUCCUCUCAGUUCCUCUUCCACCUGUCUUUGCAGAUAACUUUCCUGGUAACUUCCUUUCACACGCAACCUUGUCUCAGGGUCUACUUCUAGGGAACCCACGUAAGGCUGCAUCUCUAGAUAUCUUUUUCCCUUAAAUGCCCUGGGGUUUGGGAGAGUUUCCCACUCAAUAAUACUCAGUAAGCUUUCCCAUUAACCCCGCUAUAAGCUUUUCUUGGUUUCCUCUGUGUCUGUGCCCCAAGGUGUGUCUGUCGUGGGGGGAUGAGUCAUGGAGCAAAGUCCUCCCCACUGACUCAGCAAUGCCAUUUCCUGCCCACAACCUUCUAGAACUCUUGCACUUUGACACAAUGGGGACCAGCCCACCCCUGAUUCACCAGCUCAGUUUUCUGUCACAUCCUGUACUUUCCCUGAGGAUUUUUCUGUUCUCCUUCUGACCAGAGUCAACGCCAACCAACCCACAAGCAGCAGAGAACAGAAACGUGGCCAGAUGGUCUCCAAUACGGAUCAAAAACAUAAAGAGGCAAACGUGGAGGGGCGGAAGGUCCUUGGCCCUUUUCUCUUGAAAUUGAGUUCGCUGUGUUGAAAUGUCCAUCGUGUCUGCAUCCCCUUCCUGGUUUUCCCCAAAGAGGCCGUGGCGGGGGAACAGGUGGCGUUCCAUGUGGUGGCAACAUGAAGGGAUCACUCGCCAGCGAGCAUAAUCGCUCUGGAAACAUUCGGAAUACUCAUAUGUUCUGUACUUUUCCCCUGAGUCAAUAAGGUAGAAAUGCAUCAGGAGAAAGUCAAAGGUUUCUGUCAAAAUCCAGACCACAGGGAGAAAAUGACGAGUUGAUGGGGCUCACCCUGUGAUCAAUUUCUCCGUGAACCUGACAGGGAAGUCUUCUUAGAGGGCACCUCAGCGUCUGAAGUUGGCUUUCACAAUGAGCAGAAGGUGAAAAGCUGCCAAACAACAGCCACUUUCAAAAUCCAGUGAAAACAGAACUAAGCCAACAAAGGAAUAACAAGGUCCCAGGUUGCAAAACAAAACAAGUUGGGAAAACUUGUCCAAGAGCUGUACUGAACUCUUGCAUGGGCGCUGACGUACACAAAUCAUCCUCAUCACCUCUGAAACGAGGCAGCUCUAAAUUACUUCUUGAAUUCCAUAUGGUUAAUCUGCAGGCACAGGAACAUGCUUUAGGGUGAAAUUUAGUUGUUGUUGUUUUCACUGGGCUUGCAAUAACAUAUUGUAAAUGACUAAGGCUAGAUGACACUUUCACACCAGUCUUGAAAUCAUCCCAGUGAUCUUGACCCAAUGCCAGAUGAGGAUCUUGGUGCAGAUAAAGCGACUGUGCUUCUUCUUCCUGCAGAAUUAACAUUAACAAUCCUGCACAUUAACAAUCUAGAACUAUGUUAGCCAGGGUAUUUGAGGCAGAAUUCUGAACUGAAAUUGGUCGUCUCCUAGCACAAUGAUUUUUAAAUACAAAACAAGCAAACACACAAAAAGAAAAAAAGAAACAACAAGAAAUUUUAAAAUGUCGUAUCUAUCUUAUGAAAGCCAAAAUGAAAGAUUGGCAACCUUUCCUGAAUAUGGGCAUUGUCCACAUCUAAUCUAGAUGAUGUGGGUCCAGUUUUCUCUUUCUUCAAUCAUCUGAUGUUUUUACAUUCAAAUUGGUAGGAAAAGGAUGCUUUCCAGUUUAAUUUUCUUUAAAAUAAUUUCGCAGAUUUCUGAAUCCAUAUGCAAUUUUUAAGAGCACAGACUUUGGACUCAAAAAUGAGUUUAAAUUCUCAGUCUGCCACUUACAAGAUGAGUAAGGUGAAAAACCCCUUCACCUCUGUAAGCCUCAGAUGACCAGCGCAUGAUGUGACAAAACCAUCCUCUGGUAAAAGAUCCAUUUAGAGUGCAGAUGGGCCAGCGAAUUCUAAUGAAAGAGAAGAUGAAGUGUUCAUUGAUGUGGUUUCAGAUUUCCACAUUGCCGCUCACCUUUAAGAAACUGCCACUUGUUGAGUUUUGGUCUAGUAUCAAGAAGAACAGCCACAAUUAUCUGGAAAAGUCUAUCACAAUACUCAUCCCUUUGCCAAUUACAUAUCUGCAUGAGCUUGAUUUUCUUCAUGUACAUCAAUCAAAAUCUAUUGCAACAGACUGAAGUCAGAGGCAAGUACGGAAAUUCAGCCCUCCUAAAAGCACAUCUACCAUUCAAUCCAGCAAUCCCACUACUGGGUAUCCACCCAAAGGAAAAUAAGUCAUUAUAUGAAAAGGAUACCUGCACACAUAUGUUUAUAGCAGCACAAUUCACAAUUGCAAGCAUGUGAAACCAACCUAAGUGCCCACUGACUAAUCAGUGGAUAAAGAAACUGUGGUAUAUGUACACCGUGGAAUACUACUCAGCCACUAAAAGGAACCAAAGGCCACGUGAGGUGGCUCAGGUCUGUAAUCCCAGCACUUUGGAAGGCUGAGGCGGGUGGAUCACCUGAGGUCAGGAGUUCAAGACCAGCCUGGCCACAUGGUGAUACCCAGUGUCUACCAAAAAUACAAAAAAUUAGCUGGGUGUGGUGGCGGGUGCCUGUAAUCCCAGCUACUCAGGAGGCUGAGGCAGGAGAAUCACUUGAACCUGGGAGGGGGAGGUUGCAGUGAGCCGAGAUCACACCAUUGCACUCCAGCCUGGGCAACAGGAGCGAAACUCCAUCUCAAAAAAUAAAUAAAUAAAUAAAUAAAUAAAUAAAUAAAUAAAUAAGAGGAACGAAAUAAUGUCUUUUGCGGCAACUUACAUGGAGGAUGGAGCUGGAGGCCAUUAUUCUAAGUGAAGUAAUUCAGGAGUAGAAAACCAAGACCAAUGUGUUCUCACUUAUAAAGAGAGCUGAACUAUGAGUAUGCAAAGGCAUAUAGAGCGAUAUAAUGGACUUUGGAGGCUCAGAAGUGAGAGAGCAGGAGGCAGGCUAGGGAUAAAAAGACUGCACAUUAAAUACGAUGUACACGGCUUGGGUGACUGGUGCAGUAAAUCCUCAGAAUUCAUCCCUGUAUAAUACAUUUGUGUAAUGAAAAACCGUACCCCAAAAGCUGUUGAAAAGAUUUUUUUUAAUUAAGCUAUUCUCUAUUAAACCUGACAUUAAAGAGAUUUGCAAAAAUGUAAAAUAAUAUUACUCUUCUCACUGAUUUUUUUAUUUUGGAUC
rnacentral:lncRNA from 10 species